rnacentral:rRNA from 1 species
AGGGGGGGCAAGCGUUGUUCGGAAUUACUGGGCGUAAAGGGUUCGUAGGUGGCCACUUAAGUCAGACGUGAAAUCCCUCAGCUUAACUGGGGAACUGCGUCUGAUACUGAGUGGCUUGAGUGCAGGAGAGGAAUGCGGAAUUCCAGGUGUAGCGGUGAAAUGCGUAGAUAUCUGGAGGAACACCGGUGGCGAAGGCGGCAUUCUGGACUGUAACUGACACUGAGGAACGAAAGCCAGGGGAGCAAACGGGAUUAGAUACCCCGGUAGUCCUGGCCCUAAACGAUGAAUGCUUGGUGUGGCGGGUAUCGAUCCCUGCCGUGCCGCAGUUAACGCGAUAAGCAUUCCGCCUGGGGAGUACGGUCGCAAGGCUG